GUAAGGAAUAUUGGUCAAUGGGCGCAAGCCUGAACCAGCCAUGCCGCGUGCAGGAAGACGGCCCUCCGGGUUGUAAACUGCUUUUGUACGGGAAUAAACCUUUCUUCGUGAAGAAAGCUGAAUGUACCGUAAGAAUAAGGAUCGGCUAACUCCGUGCCAGCAGCCGCGGUAAUACGGAGGAUCCAAGCGUUAUCCGGAUUUAUUGGGUUUAAAGGGUGCGUAGGCGGCCUGUUAAGUCAGGGGUGAAAGACGGUGGCUCAACCAUCGCAGUGCCCUUGAUACUGAUGGGCUUGAAUGGACUAGAGGUAGGCGGAAUGUGACAAGUAGCGGUGAAAUGCAUAGAUAUGUCACAGAACACCGAUUGCGAAGGCAGCUUACUAUGGUCCUAUUGACGCUGAGGCACGAAAGCGUGGGGAUCGAACAGGA
rnacentral:rRNA from 1 species